UUUUAUCCUCUAUCUCGUCAAAAUAUAUGAAAACCAAACAAAAGCACAACAUAACUAAUUAUAGGAACAGAGUGUUCAAAAAGCAAGUUCACAUGCACUGCUACCAGAUGAACUGAAAAGCAAGCUUUUCAUAUUUAAGAUCGUUUAAUUAAAAGAGAGAAUUCCAUACACAACACAUCAAAAUGCUCUAACAAAAUUAGUGGCUCCUCCAAACUUAUAUCAUAAAGCUUUUGCAAAGAAGUAGCACUAACACAGAAUAUACAGACAAUCAAAGAGAUUCAACACGCUUUAGCAUGGGACAACACUUCAUAUUUGAUAUGCCAAUCUAAAGCUUAAGCCUGCAACACGCUCACAACAUUAAAAAAUCCCAUUCAGACAGACCUAUGAUUGCAACAUUCAGCCUCUUAUGACUAAGAGUUUAUUUUCUACAAGAAUUUUAGGUAGGUCCACAAGGCAACAGUUGACAUCAUAGUUAUCAAAAGCGCACCUGAGACACAUGGGGCCCUAGGUGUAGUGCCUCAACAAGGGAAAGCAGACAACCUCACCCAAGCACAGCCAGCGCAUGCAUGCCUGGACUUGCCCGCGUAAGGUGAAGGCACAAAUCAUAACAGGGGAAUGUUGUUUUAACCCUUUCAUGCGUAGCAAGAGUUCAUGCAGCCACGAAAGAAGAAUAAGACCGAGAAGAUGACCCGGCUGAUACUACCCAAACGCGGCUGUAUGUUUUGUCUUUAUGUGUUAUUUUAUAGUAACAGUGAGCUAGGCUUAAUGGCUUUAUUACGUGGCUCUGUUGUAUGGUAAUAGUGGGCCUAUUGGGCCUAAACUAAUUUAGAAUUUUUUUCAUUUUUUUGGGCCUAAAUCUAGUUUAAGAUUUUUUAUUUUAGUUCUCUUUUGCAUUUACAUGACAA
rnacentral:misc_RNA from 1 species